rnacentral:rRNA from 1 species
GACGAACGCUGGCGGCGUGCUUAACACAUGCAAGUCGAACGGAACUCUUUGGAUCAAGACUUCGGUCAAGUGAGAUUGAGUUUAGUGGCGGACGGGUGAGUAACGCGUGAGGAACCUGCCUUUCAGAGGGGGACAACAGUUGGAAACGACUGCUAAUACCGCAUAACGCGUAGAGAUCGCAUGGUCUUUACGCCAAAGAUUUAUCGCUGAGAGAUGGCCUCGCGUCUGAUUAGCUAGUUGGUGAGGUAACGGCCCACCAAGGCGACGAUCAGUAGCCGGACUGAGAGGUUGACCGGCCACAUUGGGACUGAGAUACGGCCCAGACUCCUACGGGAGGCAGCAGUCGGGAAUAUUGCGCAAUGGAGGAAACUCUGACGCAGUGACGCCGCGUGCAGGAAGAAGGUUUUCGGAUUGUAAACCUCUGUCUUUGGUGACGAAAACAUGACGGUAGCCAAGGAGGAAGCCACGGCUAACUACGUG